UUUCAAGAAAAUAAUGUUGAAGUUUAUUUGAAGACCUGCUGUACAUCUGUAUUAGUCCGUUCUCAUGCUGCUAGAAAGAAAUACUUGAGACUGGGAACUUAUGCUGUGCUAUUUGAUUAAACCCUCUACUAUGACUGACAAGGAAAUGGAGUCACCAGAAUGUAUGAAAAGGAUUAAAGUUCAGGAGGUGAUUCUGAGUCGAUGGGUUUCUUCACGAGAGAGGAGUGACCAAGACGAUCUUUAACAAUUCAACCUCAAAUUUCUAAUUUCACCAACAACUAUUUAUUGAGGGCUAGGUAAAAAGUUCUUUUUGUUGUAAUCGUCCAUUAAUUCAUAAGUUUUAAAGGGCAUGGUGCUCCCAGCACCAGAAAACUAUCAGUGUUUUUAAAGAUAAAUUACACAAGGGAGGAGAAAGAUCCCUGUGCCAGGACUGCAGAUUCUAUACUUGCGUUGGCCUCUAACUCUCCAAUCCAGAGCCUCCUGCCUCUGGCGUCAGUCUGUUCCCUCAUCCACUCACUGGGGAGAUUGGACUAGAUGAGUCCUGAGAGGACACUUCCAACAAGAGACAUUUAUUCUCUGAUUUUACCUGAAAAUGGUAGUAGUUUACAUUUAUACAGUACAGUUUAUGAAGCACUUUCAUACGCAGGCAUCUCUUGUUACCUACAUCUAAGCUGUUCCCGAAAGAGUGUUACAGAACACAACAGUAUUGUACAAUAUUCGAUAAGCAUAUCUUCACUGCACUUGUUAUAAAAAUGAGUGGUGAAAUAAUGUUUGGAGACAUAAUGAAAGCAAUUAACAUUUGGCAAAAUAUAAUAAAGCCUUUUUGUAAU
rnacentral:sRNA from 1 species